AUUGAUUGUUAUUCAUUUUUUAGUUCUGUAUUAGAACUUUAGACCCCGAGGUGGGCAACUUAUGAACGAGAUGUCUUCCUGUAUAAUAAUAAUUCAAUUAAUAGGCCAUUUCAAGCAUUUCAGUUCAGAUUUGUGAUUUUUAUCCAAUGAUUUUUGUUUUGUUUAGUAGUUUAGGUUAUGUUCUGUUUGUAAUGGAUAGAGUUAGUUUUGAUUCGUUUCUCACCUGAUUCUUUGCUUUAAUCAUUAGUUAUAUGUAUUUCUUGUUGACUUUUCUUUAGUUUAGAUUUUACCAUUCUGUAUGCAACAUUAAAAUUCAGUUACCUCUGACAUGUACAUAUUCAUUUAGCUUUUAGGAUUUGUAUAGCUUUUAAAUUCCAAUUUAAUUUGCAUAUCCAUAUUCAUUAGUUUUAGAACAUUUUCUUUGCAUAGCUUAUGUUGUUGUUUUUGUCAUAGGUAGCUUAGAGUUCUAUUUUCUUUAAUUUCAUUUCAAUUCAAUUUCCUUCUUUUCUUUUAAACAGAUUAUAGUUUAGUUUUCUUUUCCUUCUUAAUUUCAUUGUUUUCAUAUUUUUUUUAUUAUUUCCCCACCUUGUUAGUUAGUUAAAAGUAAAUAAAAUACAAGACAAAACUUUACACUUAAAACUUAAUUUUAGUCGAGUCCGAGGAUUGAUACCUAGGUUGUCCCUUUACUACAUUAGUGGGGAAAUCUAGUUUGUUCU
rnacentral:lncRNA from 1 species